UACGUAGGGGGCAAGCGUUGUCCGGAAUCAUUGGGCGUAAAGCGCGUGUAGGCGGUCCGGUAAGUCCGCUGUGAAAGUCGGGGGCUCAACCCUCGGAUGCCGGUGGAUACUGUCGGGCUUGAGUACGGAAGAGGCGAGUGGAAUUCCUGGUGUAGCGGUGAAAUGCGCAGAUAUCAGGAGGAACACCAAUUGCGAAGGCAGCUCGCUGGACGUUACUGACGCUGAGACGCGAAGCGUGGGAGC
rnacentral:rRNA from 1 species